GACGGAGGGGGCUAGCGUUGUUCGGAAUUACUGGGCGUAAAGCGCACGUAGGCGGCUUUCUAAGUCGGGGGUGAAAUCCUGGAGCUCAACUCCAGAACUGCCUUUGAUACUGAAGAUCUUGAGUUCGGGAGAGGUGAGUGGAACUGCGAGUGUAGAGGUGAAAUUCGUAGAUAUUCGCAAGAACACCAGUGGCGAAGGCGGCUCACUGGCCCGAUACUGACGCUGAGGCACGAAAGCGUGGGGAGCAAACAGG
rnacentral:rRNA from 1 species